rnacentral:rRNA from 1 species
GAUGAACGCUGGCGGCGUGCUUAACACAUGCAAGUCGAACGAUGAAGCCCAGCUUGCUGGGUGGAUUAGUGGCGAACGGGUGAGUAACACGUGAGUAACCUGCCCUUAACUCUGGGAUAAGCCUGGGAAACUGGGUCUAAUACCGGAUAGGAGCGUCCACCGCAUGGUGGGUGUUGGAAAGAUUUAUCGGUUUUGGAUGGACUCGCGGCCUAUCAGCUUGUUGGUGAGGUAAUGGCUCACCAAGGCGACGACGGGUAGCCGGCCUGAGAGGGUGACCGGCCACACUGGGACUGAGACACGGCCCAGACUCCUACGGGAGGCAGCAGUGGGGAAUAUUGCACAAUGGGCGAAAGCCUGAUGCAGCGACGCCGCGUGAGGGAUGACGGCCUUCGGGUUGUAAACCUCUUUCAGUAGGGAAGAAGCGAAAGCGACGGUACCUGCAGAAGAAGCACCGGCUAACUACGUG